UUCAGAAAUGAAGUAAAUUAUAAUAUACAUAUCAAAGAAGAGACGAAACGAGCUUACGCAUAAUUUCGGUAGAGGCUUCAAGACGGAAGAAGCUAAACAGAAGGAAAAAGCAAAAGCAAUAAAACGUGGUGUAUUAAUGAUACUGUUGCCCUUAUUACUGUAACACUUUGAUAACAACAACGUAAGCCAAAGCAACAUAUGAAAACGAAUAUGGAACCAAAACACCUACGAACAAGCAAUUAUGCCUAUGUCCAAAAACAAAAAGAAACGAAAACAGAAAUAACCUCAUCAAACAAAUUGUAUACAGCCAAUUAAGACAAAACAGCGGAAAAAGCUUUAGAAUUCAAAAACAAAAAUAUGAAAAUUAAAUACAGAUUUAUUAGCACAAGCUUAAAUUAAAGUUGCGCUUGUGAUUAUCAAAAAUAAAUUUAAAGACUAUAGACGUCAGUAUGCUUGGAAUAAGAGACCAAAAUAACUAAGCAAAAUUUGUAAGUGAACACGAUAUAAGUAGUAAUUAUACAACAAGAAAAAAUUAAAUAAUUACAACAAAAACAAUUUCGGCGCUUGGGCAUAGACUGCUGCCUACUGCUGAGCGCGAAUUUAUGGUCAACGGUUCCACCAGCUGACUUUGACCUUGAAAAACGUGAAGUAAACAGUCAUUAAAAGUGCGGUAAACAAGAGUUUUGCGGAUAACAUGCGCCAAGCGACAAGUGACAAGCACAAAUACAACACUUGCGUAUGCGAAAACAGUUGUUAGAACUAGUGGGCCCCGAAUUAUGUCAACACUGUCUGUGUAGCGGUAUGAAGUGACUUGGGUAUAGAAAAAAAAGCUAAAAAAAAUGUAAACGAUUUUGCAGAUUGGUUGAAAUGGAUUGGAUUUGAGUCAGCUUUUCUAAAAACAAAUAACCUAACCUGACAUUCGAAAAAUACAUCAGAAAUAAAACAUGACUUAAUUAUAACACACUCCUUUUUAAACUGUCUACAACCUCACCCUACAACGUCGGCGUCAUCGCUCAUGCCUUGAGAGCUCCACUUACCGCUACAUUUGACAGCUGUGACAUUUGUCGAGAAUGUACCUCCAUUCCCUGACAAAAAAAAAGUGCUAAUAAACGAAUUAAAAUGGAAAUUCAAAUCAAAUCGAA